rnacentral:rRNA from 1 species
CACAUGCAAGUCGAACGAAACACCUUAUUUGAUUUUCUUCGGAACUGAAGAUUUGGUGAUUGAGUGGCGGACGGGUGAGUAACGCGUGGGUAACCUACCCUGUACAGGGGGAUAACAGUCAGAAAUGACUGCUAAUACCGCAUAAGACCACAGCACCGCAUGGUGCAGGGGUAAAAACUCCGGUGGUACAGGAUGGACCCGCGUCUGAUUAGCUGGUUGGUGAGGUAACGGCUCACCAAGGCGACGAUCAGUAGCCGGCUUGAGAGAGUGAACGGCCACAUUGGGACUGAGACACGGCCCAAACUCCUACGGGAGGCAGCAGUGGGGAAUAUUGCACAAUGGGGGAAACCCUGAUGCAGCGACGCCGCGUGAGUGAAGAAGUAUCUCGGUAUGUAAAGCUCUAUCAGCAGGGAAGAAAAUGACGGUACCUGACUAAGAAGCCCCGGCUAACUACGUGCCAGCAGCCGCGGUAAUACGUAGGGGGCAAGCGUUAUCCGGAAUUACUGGGUGUAAAGGGUGCGUAGGUGGUAUGGCAAGUCAGAAGUGAAAACCCAGGGCUUAACUCUGGGACUGCUUUUGAAACUGUCAGACUGGAGUGCAGGAGAGGUAAGCGGAAUUCCUAGUGUAGCGGUGAAAUGCGUAGAUAUUAGGAGGAACAUCAGUGGCGAAGGCGGCUUACUGGACUGAAACUGACACUGAGGCACGAAAGCGUGGGGAGCAAACAGG